UAACACGUGGAUACUUACCCUGUACUCGGGCAUAACCAGCCGAAAGGUUGGCUAAUUCCCGAUGGUCUCGCAAGAGUAAAGCUCCGGCGGUACAGGAAAGGUCUGCGGCUUAUCAGCUUGUUGGUGGGGUAAUGGCCUACCAAGGCUAUGACGGGUAGGGGACGUGAGAGCGUGACCCCCAACGAUGGGACUGAGACACGGCCCAUACUCUUACGGGAGGCAGCAGUCAAGAACAUUGGACAAUGGACGCAAGUCUGAUCCAGCGACGUCGCGUGCGGGAUGAAGGCCUUCGGGUCGUAAACCGCUUUUAUAGAGGAAGAAUCUUCGGAUGACGGUACUCUAUGAAUAAGGGGGUGCUAAUUCUGUGCCAGCAGCCGCGGUAAAACAGAACCCCCGAGCGUUACCCGGAUUCAUUGGGCGUAAAGCGUCUGUAGCCGGUUUGGCAAGUCUUACGUUAAAUACCAAGAGCUCAACUUUUGGAGUGCUUAAGAAACUGUCAGACUAGAGGGUGUUAGGGGUUGAUGGAACUCUUGGUGGAGGGGUGAAAUCCGUG
rnacentral:rRNA from 1 species